rnacentral:rRNA from 1 species
UACGGAGGUGGCAAGCGUUGCUCGGAAUCACUGGGCGUAAAGGGCGCGUAGGCGGGGAGGUAAGUCGGGUGUGAAAUCCCUCGGCCCAACCGAGGAACUGCGCCCGAGACUGCUUCUCUUGAGUCCCGGAGAGGAAGGUGGAAUUCCCGGUGUAGCGGUGAAAUGUGUAGAGAUCGGGAGGAACACCGGUGGCGAAGGCGGCCUUCUAGACGGUGACUGACGCUGAGGCGCGAAAGCGUGGGGAGCAAACGGG